UUCCGGUUGAUCCUGCCGGACCCGACUGCUAUCGGAUUGGGACUAAGCCAUGCGAGUCAACUCCGCAAGGGGUGGCGCACGGCUCAGUAACACGUAGUCAACCUACCCUAGGGACGGGGAUAACCUCGGGAAACUGAGGCUAAACCCCGAUAGGCCAUGGUUCCUGGAAUGGACCAUGGCUGAAAUCUAUAUGGCCCUAGGAUGGGACUGCGGCCGAUCAGGUUGUUGGUGGGGUAAUGACCCACCAAGCCUAUAACCGGUGCGGGCUCUGAGAGGAGGAGCCCGGAGAUGGGCACUGAGACAAGGGCCCAGGUCCUGUGGGGCGCAGCAGGCGCGAAACCUCCGCAAUGGGCGAAAGCCCGACGGGGUCAGUCCGAGUGGUCCCCGCUGAGGGGACCUUUUGCCAGCUGUAAACAGGCUGGAGAAUAAGGGGUGGGCAAGUUUGGUGUCAGCCGCCGCGGUAAAACCAGC
rnacentral:rRNA from 1 species